UACGAAGGGGGCUAGCGUUGUUCGGAAUCACUGGGCGUAAAGGGCGUGUAGGCGGUCAAGUAAGUGGAAUGUGAAACGCCUCGGCUUACCCGAGGACCUGCAUCCCAAACUGCUUGGCUUGAGUAUGGGAGAGGAUGAGGGAAUUCCUGGUGUAGCGGUGAAAUGCGUAGAUAUCAGGAGGAACACCGGUGGCGAAAGCGCUCAUCUGGCCCAAUACUGACGCUGAGGCGCGAAAGCUAGGGGAGCAAACGGG
rnacentral:rRNA from 1 species